rfam:Brachypodium distachyon strain Bd21 chromosome 3, whole genome shotgun sequence.
CACCUACUUCAUCCGUCCAAAAAAGGAUGUCUCAAGUUUGACAAAAUUUGAAUGCAUCUACUCCCUGCCGUGAAACUUGAUCCGCUCGAUCGAGUUUUGACUCAAAUUAUACUAAGUCAUGUCUAGAUACAUCCAAAUUUUGACAAACUUAAGACAUCUUUUAUUGGACGGAGGGAGUAUGAU